rnacentral:rRNA from 1 species
AGAGUUUGAUUAUGGCUCAGGAUGAACGCUAGCGACAGGCUAACACAUGCAAGUCGAGGGGCAGCAUAGAAGUAGCAAUACUUGGUGGCGACCGGCGCACGGGUGAGUAACGCGUAUGCAACCUACCUAUCAGAGGGGAAUAACCCGGCGAAAGUCGGACUAAUACCGCAUAAAACAGGGGCACCGCAUGGUGAUAUUUGUUAAAGAAAUUCGCUGAUAGAUGGGCAUGCGUUCCAUUAGGUAGUUGGUGAGGUAACGGCUCACCAAGCCGACGAUGGAUAGGGGAACUGAGAGGUUGGUCCCCCACACUGGUACUGAGACACGGACCAGACUCCUACGGGAGGCAGCAGUGAGGAAUAUUGGUCAAUGGGCGGGAGCCUGAACCAGCCAAGUCCGCGUGAAGGAAGAAGGAUCUAUGGUUCGUAAACUUCUUUUGCAGGGGAAUAAAGUGCAGGACGUGUCCUGUUUUGUAUGUACCCUGAGAAUAAGGAUCGGCUAACUCCGUGCCAGCCGCCGC